UGAAUUCUCCUGAGGAACCACAUAUGAGGUUGUCCUUUGGCAUCCUCACAAAUCCUCCCACAGGCAUAAGUCAACCUCCACACACCUGUGCAGGCAUGCACAUUUGUACACAAGCACACACGUACAUGAAUCUGUGAAGGACAUCCUAAUGAAAUCAAAGCAUCUUUGAAGGCGGUGAAGGCAUUGUAGGUUUGGGUGGAAAGUGAGGUCAACUUUAUUCAACCCAAAGACAGAGUGAACAGAAAACCAUGCUGUACAUCUCACAGAAUUCUCAAUUGUUUUAGCAGGGGCCAAAAUGGGGCCUUCAAAAUGCAAAGCUAGGAUGGUGGCCUGGUCCACUUAGACUACAUUAGUAUUUUCUCCUUGUUGUAUCCAAGAAAAAGAGGCAUGGACGUGGCCCUGUGAAAGGACCAUCUCUUUUCAGCAUGGGGCAGGAGCCAAACUGUACCCUGGAACACCUACAGAUAUCAUUGGUUUGACCUGGACAAGAACUCAGAGGCGGGAGACCCCUUUUCAGGGGCUGGUCUAGAUGAUGUGGCAUGAAAGUGGCUAGAAACACAGCAACAUGUGAAUUCAUAUGUGUUUUCACUCAGGUGAACUCACUUCACCUGAGUUCUUGGGAACAGACCCCUUCUCUGUGAAUCUGAAACUCAAGGGCACAAGGGAAAAACGCCAGCAUGGAUGUUUUCUCAGGCACCGUGGACUAAACCACUCCAUGGGCUUGGCGUUACACAUCACCUGUCAACUUCCUUUAACUUGGCUAUAGCAAGAAAUGGAUCUUGUCAUGACAACGACGAUGAUAAUGGCUAUGAGAUCGAUGGUGAUGAUGAUGGUGAUGACAAUGACAUUUGGGGAAAACUCUUAGACUCUGGAUACAGUUUUUCAUAUUAUGAAAUUUUUAUUCACUUAAUAACUACCUUCCAUUCUCCUCAUUAUUUUUUUUCUCACAUGAGGAGGGACUGUGUGACAGUGGAGCCUUGAGAAAGAACUGC
rnacentral:lncRNA from 1 species